CAUGGAUCUCUCAGGUCAAGCGCGCUAGAGCAAGUGUGCGGCCUAUUUCAGAGCCACUCCGCCGCGUGGCUCAACCUCCCUGACGAGCGCCGCCUCGCCCAGUCGCCGACCGCGACAAGAUGGAUCAGCGCGCCUCCUUCCCAAUCGCGCGCGGAAGCCCCUUGCAUCCCUUUCCGCCUUGUCUCGUCUUGCCCAAGAUCUUGCCGACCGCGCCAGGCGCCCUGUCGCUGCUGCGACCAAGGAUUGGCCACUGCCGCGCCAGUCCGCC
rnacentral:lncRNA from 1 species